rnacentral:rRNA from 1 species
UACAGAGGGGGCAAGCGUUGUUCGGAAUUACUGGGCGUAAAGGGCGCGUAGGCGGCCUGUUAAGUCGAACGUGAAAUCCCCGGGCUCAACCCGGGAACUGCGUCCGAUACUGGCAGGCUUGAAUUCGGGAGAGGGAUGUGGAAUUCCAGGUGUAGCGGUGAAAUCCGUAGAUAUUAGGAGGAACAUCAAUGGCGAAGGCAGCUUGCUGGGACAUUACUGACACUGAGCUACGAAAGCGUGGGUAGCAAACAGG